AUUGAACGCUGGCGGUAUGCUUAACACAUGCAAGUCGAACGGUAGCAGGCCUUCGGGCGCUGACGAGUGGCGGACGGGUGAGUAAUGCAUAGGAAUCUGCCUCGUAGUGGGGGACAACUUAGGGAAACUUAAGCUAAUACCGCAUACGCCCUGAGGGGGAAAGCGGGGGCUCGCAAGACCUCGCGCUAUGAGACGAGCCUAUGUUGGAUUAGCUAGUUGGUGGGGUAAAGGCCUACCAAGGCUGCGAGCCAUAGCUGGUCUGAGAGGAUGAUCAGCCACACUGGGACUGAGACACGGCCCAGACUCCUACGGGAGGCAGCAGUGGGGAAUAUUGGACAAUGGGCGCAAGCCUGAUCCAGCCAUGCCGCGUGAGUGAAGAAGGCCUUCGGGUUGUAAAGCUCUUUCGGCGGGGAAGAAAUUGCUUAGGUUAAUACCUUGAGUAGAUGACGGUACCCGCAUAAGAAGCACCGGCUAACUACGUGCCAGCAGCCGCAGUAACAC
rnacentral:rRNA from 1 species